UACGAGUGCCCCAAGCGUUAUCCGGAAUCAUUGGGCGUAAAGGGUGUGUAGGCGGUUUGGUUAGUCUUCUGUCAAAAUCUUGGGCUUAACCCAAGACUUGCAGGGGAAACGGCCAGACUCGAGGGUGCGAGAGGUGAAUGGAACUCAUGGAGUAGGGGUGAAAUCCGUUGAUAUCAUGGGGAACACCGAAAGCGAAGGCAAUUCACUGGCGCAUUUCUGACGCUGAAACACGAAAGCGUGGGUAGCGAACGGG
rnacentral:misc_RNA from 1 species